ensembl:lncRNA
CUUUUUUUCUCCUUUUUCUCUGGACCUCUUACCUUGUUCGGCGCUCCCAGAUGGCAUACUAUUUUCUAGAAAUGCAGAGCCCAAGUCUGGUGCUUCAGCCAGUGCUUUCCUCCUGCUGGAGAGAGCAGAAGGAUUGCUUCAUGUACCUCACAGGCAAAACAAACCCUCAUCCCUGUUAAAGAGCAUUCUGGUGUUUGGGACUAGAGCUCUCAUUUGUUAAAUCAUUUUCAAUUCCAGGUCUGUUCUCCAAAGGAUAUGUUGCUCUUCCUCGAUUGGCAUCAUCUGCAGACUUAAUAAGCACACACUCUGUUUUAUCAUCCAGAUCAUUAGUGGAAGUGUUGAAUAGUCCUAGACCCAGGGCAGCUCCCCGUGGAGCACAGGUCCAUCCCGCUGUUUUGUCAGUGAAACACUGGUAACAGCUUUCCAUGUACUGCUUCCCAACCACUUUUGCAUCCUUCUGCAGUGUGAAACUCCCUAGCUUCCUUAAUUCAGCUAUGAGAAUGCUAUAAAAAACAGUGUCUAAAGUUAGGAUAUAUGACAUCUGCUGCUGUUCUAUCUACAAAACCUAUCACCCUCUCACAGGAAGAAAUUACAUUGUUUUGACACAAUUUGUUCUUUAGAAACCCAUGGUGGCUGCUACUCAAGUCCUUCCUUCUCCUAGGUACAUACAAUGCAAUGUGUUCAAUUAUUUGUUCCAGUUUGGUUUUUCAUUUUCUUUUCCUGGGAUUUCAUGUUACUUCUAAUGUCAUUUUUCCUUUCAGAGAAGUAGCUGAAAUCAAGAGCUGUGGAUUUGGAGGAGUGGACACUGAGAAUGCCCGUCCCACACGUCAGUGCUGUUUGAGAUACGGUGAAGCUGUGCCAGUGACAACCAUGAGAAGAGCUCUCUGCUCAGAUGGUUUCAGAGGCUGUCUACAUCCAGAGAAAGGUAAGAAUAAAUGUAAAGUUCCUGUUGCCAUUAGAGAUGAACAAAUGUUUGAGAGAAAUCCUCGCUGGUCUCCAGCUGGACAGGGGCUGUGGCAGUGACCUUCUCCUGUCUCCACAACCAAUUUAGCAGGACACCUCCACGCUUUUCCAAAGCCUAGAAUUUAACAAAACCGUACUGGGGUGCUCCAAAGAGGUGUGAGUCCUCUCCCAGCAGCACAAGAGCAGGAUGGGAAAGAUGGCGUGGCCCAGGCCAUUGCAGACCAAGCCCUUUCCUUGCCACUGACUUGCUUCAGUGAGAGCCUUCCCCGUCUGGGCUUGUCCCUGCUCCAGUCUUUGGGCUGUUUCACUUAGGAGCUUCCCAGGAAAGACAACCAGCAUGCUGAGGGUCUCCUGCAGUGCCUCGCGUGUUGGGGCGGGUGGGAAACCAGCCUGGAGGGGACGAGGUGGCACAGCUUCUCUGGUGCAGCAUCCUGGGGACGGUGGUGACUCAGUUGCUGUCUGUCACCCCAGUGCAGUCUUCCGGGGCUCACUGCAGGUUUGUCAAGGAGCGCAGCACAGCAGGCACAAUUUGUCAAAAUGGUCUGAAAACUGACAACAUAUCUCUGGCAUUGAGUGAGUUUUUAAAAAAGUAACAUUCAGGGUAAUCUGACAUCUGUUCUCAGCCAGCUAUCGGGUCUGACAAUAGGGAAUGUAAGCACAAUAGGAUGUCACAUGAAGAGGUCUGAAUUUCACAUUGUUUCUUCUCCUUUAUGCUGGAAUAAUUUCUUAGCAGUGUAGAAAACCUAUUUCUCACCCUUUCGCAUUCUCCUGGCAGAUCUUUGAAUAUUAAUGCUGUCUCUGGCAUCCAUGAGUCAAAGCACUCUGCGCUGGGUUGAUGAGGGUUGUAGGACAUGAGCGACAUCCCCAUCUCCUGCACGGGCAGCGAGCAAUGUCCCCGUGCUGCAGUGGCACCUCGUGCUGCGGUACAGGGCGGCACUCACUUGGCAGGACCCUGGCCUGGGAAUCGGGAGGCCGAGAUUUAUCGAGCAGCUCUGGCACUGGCUUGCCUUUUGUCCAUGCUCUGCUGGUGACGUCAAAAGCACGGUGACUGUUCUUCAAA